rnacentral:rRNA from 1 species
AAACCAGCACCUCAAGUGGUCAGGAUGAUUAUUGGGCCUAAAGCAUCCGUAGCCGGCUCUGUAAGUUUUCGGUUAAAUCUGUACGCUUAACGUACAGGCUGCCGGGAAUACUGCAGAACUAGGGAGUGGGAGAGGUAGACGGUACUCGGGAGGAAGUGGUAAAAUGCUUUGAUCUCUCGAUGACCACCUGUGGCGAAGGCGGUCUACCAGAACACGUCCGACGGUGAGGGAUGAAAGCUGGGGGAGCAAACCGGAUUAGAAACCCCAGUAGUCC